GCCUUCGUGGUUGUAGUGAUAAGCACGCUUGACGCAUAUUCGAGAGGUCCGUGGUUCGAGUCCCGGCGAGGGCA
rnacentral:tRNA from 1 species